AAAUUGAAGAGUUUGAUCAUGGCUCAGAUUGAACGCUGGCGGCAGGCCUAACACAUGCAAGUCGAACGGUAACAGGAAGCGCUUGCUGUUUCGCUGACGAGUGGCGGACGGGUGAGUAAUGUCUGGGAAACUGCCUGAUGGAGGGGGAUAACUACUGGAAACGGUAGCUAAUACCGCAUAACGUCGCAAGACCAAAGAGGGGGACCUUCGGGCCUCUUGCCAUCGGAUGUGCCCAGAUGGGAUUAGCUUGUUGGUGGGGUAACGGCUCACC
rnacentral:rRNA from 1 species